GCCUGCCCAGUGAACAAUUAAACGGCCGCGGUACCCUAACCGUGCAAAGGUAGCAUAAUCAUUUGUCUACUAAUUAUAGACCUGUAUGAAAGGCAAAAUGAGGGUCCAACUGUCUCUUAUAAUAAAUCAAUUAAACUGAUCUCCUAGUAAAAAAGCUAGAAUUCUAACACAAGACCAGAAGACCCUGUGAAGCUUAAACUAAACUAUUAAACCCUAUAAUAACUAAUUUCGGUUGGGGCGACCUUGGAAAAAAAAAGAACUUCCAACAUAUGAUUUUCCAAACACUAAAUCUUUAGGCCAACAAGCCACCUAACGACCCAGCUAAUGCUGAUAAACGAAACAGUUACUCCAGGGAUAACAGCGCAAUCUUCUUUAAGAGCCCAUAUCAAAAAGAAGGUUUACGACCUCGAUGUUGGAUCAGGACAUCCUAGUGGUGCAGAAGCUAUUAAGGGUUCGUUUGUUCAACGAUUAAUAGUCCUACGUGAU
rnacentral:rRNA from 1 species